rnacentral:rRNA from 1 species
UGCGAAGGGGGCUAGCGUUGUUCGGAAUUACUGGGCGUAAAGCGCGUGUAGGCGGGUCCUUAAGUCAGGGGUGAAAUGCCGAGGCUCAACCUCGGAACUGCCUUUGAUACUGGGGAUCUUGAGUCCGGGAGAGGUGAGUGGAACUGCGAGUGUAGAGGUGAAAUUCGUAGAUAUUCGCAAGAACACCAGUGGCGAAGGCGGCUCACUGGCCCGGAACUGACGCUGAGACGCGAAAGCGUGGGGAGCAAACAGG